AUUGAACGCUGGCGGCAGGCCUAACACAUGCAAGUCGAGCGGUAGCACAGAGAGCUUGCUCUCGGGUGACGAGCGGCGGACGGGUGAGUAAUGUCUGGGAAACUGCCUGAUGGAGGGGGAUAACUACUGGAAACGGUAGCUAAUACCGCAUAACGUCGCAAGACCAAAGAGGGGGACCUUCGGGCCUCUUGCCAUCAGAUGUGCCCAGAUGGGAUUAGCUAGUAGGUGGGGUAACGGCUCACCUAGGCGACGAUCCCUAGCUGGUCUGAGAGGAUGACCAGCCACACUGGAACUGAGACACGGUCCAGACUCCUACGGGAGGCAGCAGUGGGGAAUAUUGCACAAUGGGCGCAAGCCUGAUGCAGCCAUGCCGCGUGUAUGAAGAAGGCCUUCGGGUUGUAAAGUACUUUCAGCGAGGAGGAAGGCAUUGUGGUUAGUAACCACAGUGAUUGACGUUACUCGCAGAAGAAGCACCGGCUAACUCCGUGCCAGCCGCCGCGGUAAAAC
rnacentral:rRNA from 1 species